rnacentral:rRNA from 1 species
GUUUCGAAUCAUUCACAAUGGGCGAAAGCCUGAUGGUGCGACGCCGCGUGAGGGAUGAAGGCCUUCGGGUUGUAAACCUCUGUCACUGGGGAAGAAACGCUUCAAGUUAAUAGCUUGAAGCCUGACUUAACCCAGAGAGGAAGCAGUGGCUAACUCUGUGCCAGCAGCCGCGGUAAUACAGAGACUGCAAGCGUUAUUCGGAUUCACUGGGCGUAAAGGGUGCGCAGGCGGCCGUGUGUGUUAGGUGUGAAAGCCCGGGGCUUAACCUCGGAAUUGCGCCUAAAACUACACGGCUAGAGCAUUGGAGAGGGUAGCGGAAUUCACGGUGUAGCAGUGAAAUGCGUAGAUAUCGUGAGGAACACCAGAGGCGAAGGCGGCUACCUGGACAAUUGCUGACGCUCAGGCACGAAAGCGUGGGGAGCAAAAGGGAUUAGAUACCCCGGUAGUCC